rnacentral:rRNA from 1 species
AGCUCGUAGUUGGAUUUCAGAUGGGACCCGCCCGUUCGGCCUAAUGGGUCUACACUGUUGUCUCCUGUCAUCCUUGUGGGAACUGCUGUGGCAUUCAGUUGUCGGGGUUAGGGAACACAUCUUUUACUGUGAAAAAAUUAGAGUGUUUAAAGCACGCUUAUGCCGUUGAAUACAUUAGCAUGGAAUAAUAAGAUAGGACUUCGGCGUCUAUUGUGUUGGUUUGCA